rnacentral:misc_RNA from 1 species
AGUUCGAUCAUGCUCAGAUUGAACGCUGGCGGGAUGCUUUACACAUGCAAGUCGAACGGCAGCACGGACUUCGGUCUGGUGGCGAGUGGCGAACGGGUGAGUAAUGUAUCGGAACGUGCCUAGUAGCGGGGGAUAACUACGCGAAAGCAGCUAAUACCGCAUACGCCCUUCGGGGGAAAGCGGGGACCUUCGGGCCUCGCACUAUUAGAGCGGCCGAUAUCGGAUUAGCUAGUUGGUGGGGUAACGGCUCACCAAGGGCGACGAUCCGUAGCUGGUUUGAGAGAGGACACCAGCCACACUGGGACUGAGACACUGGCUCCAGACUCUACGGGAGGCAGCAGUGGUGAAUUUGGACAAUGGGGAAACCCUGGAUCCAGCCAUCCCGCGUGUGCGAUGAAGGCCUUCGGGUUGUAAAGCACUUUGGCAGGAAAAGAAACGGCACGGGAUAAUACCCUGCAACUGACGGUACCCUGCAGAAUAAGCACCGGCUAACUACGUGCCAGCAGCCGCGGUAAUACGUAGUGCAAGCGUUAAUCGGAAUUACUGGGCGUAAAGCGCGUGCGCAGGCGGUUCGGAAAGAAAGAUGUGAAAUCCCAGAGCUUAACUUUGGAACUGCAUUUUUAACUACCGAGCUAGAGUGUGUCAGAGGGAGGUGGAAUUCCGCGUGUAGCAGUGAAAUGCGUAGAUAUGCGGAGGAACACCGAUGGCGAAGGCAGCCUCCUGGAUAACACUGACGCUCAUGCACGAAAGCGUGGGAGCAAACAGGAUUAGAUACCCCUGGUAGUCCACGCCCUAAACGAUGUCAACUAGCUGUUGGGGCCUUCGGGCCUUGGUAGCGCAGCUAACGCGUGAAGUUGACCGCCUGGGGAGUACGGUCGCAAGAUUAAAACUCAAAGGAAUUGACGGGGACUCCGCACAAGCGUAUUACGAUUAAUUCGAUGCAACGCGAAAACCUUACCUACCCCUUGACAUGUCUGGAAUCCCUGAAGAGAUUUUGGGAGUGCUCGCAAGAGAACCGGAACACAGGUGCUACAUGGCUGUCGUCAGCUCGUGUCGUGAGAUGUUGGGUUAAGUCCCGCAACGAGCGCAACCCUUG